GGCAAGGUAUCUCAGUUGGUUAGAGAGCGGAGCUCAUACCUCCGAUGUCGUGAGUUCGAGCCUCGCCCUUGCCACCA
rnacentral:tRNA from 1 species